rnacentral:rRNA from 1 species
GUGAGGAAUAUUGCGCAAUGGAGGCAACUCUGACGCAGCCAUGCCGCGUGCAGGAAGAAGGCGCUACGCGUUGUAAACUGCUUUUAACCGGGAAGAAACCCCAGGACGUGUCCUGGGUUGACGGUACCGGAGGAAUAAGCACCGGCUAACUUCGUGCCAGCAGCCGCGGUAAUACGAAGGGUGCAAGCGUUAUCCGGAUUCAUUGGGCUUAAAGGGUGCGUAGGCGGAGCGUUAAGUCAGUGGUGAAAUCCUGCAGCUUAACUGUAGACUUGCCAUUGAUACUGGCGCUCUUGAGUGCGCUUGAAGUGGGCGGAAUGUGCCGUGUAGCGGUGAAAUGCUUAGAUAUGGCACAGAACACCAAUUGCGAAGGCAGCUCACUAAGGCGAUACUGACGCUGAGGCACGAAAGCGUGGGGAUCGAACAGGAUUAGAAACCCGGGUAGUCC